CCUACGGGUGGCAGCAGUGGGGAAUAUUGCGCAAUGGGCGCAAGCCUGACGCAGCGACGCCGCGUGAGGGAUGACGGUCUUCGGGUCGUAAACCUCUGUCAGCAGGGAAGAACGGUCACUGUGCUAAUCAUCCUUGAAUUGACGUUACCUGCAAAGGACGCACCGGCUAACUCCGUGCCAGCAGCCGCGGUAAUACGGAGGGUGCGAGCGUUAAUCGGAAUUACUGGGCGUAAAGCGCUCGUAGGCGGUAUGUCAAGUCAAGGGUGAAAUCCCCGCGCUCAACGUGGGAACUGCAUUUGAAACUGGCAAACUGGAGUGUGGGAGAGGAUAGUGGAAUUCCAGGUGUAGGAGUGAAAUCCGUAGAUAUCUGGAGGAACAUCAGUGGCGAAGGCGACUAGCUGGAACAUAACUGACGCUGAGGAGCGAAAGCGUGGGUAGCAAACAGGAUUAGAUACCCCAGUAGUC
rnacentral:rRNA from 1 species